UACGAAGGGGGCUAGCGUUGCUCGGAAUCACUGGGCGUAAAGCGCACGUAGGCGGAUUGCUAAGUCAGGGGUGAAAUCCUGGAGCUCAACUCCAGAACUGCCUUUGAUACUGGCGACCUUGAGUCCGGGAGAGGUGAGUGGAACUGCGAGUGUAGAGGUGAAAUUCGUAGAUAUUCGCAAGAACACCAGUGGCGAAGGCGGCUCUCUGGUCCGGACCUGACGCUGAGGCGCGAAAGCGUGGGGAGCAAACAGG
rnacentral:rRNA from 1 species